UGCUAUCAGGAAACGGGACUCCCUUUCUCCUGGGACCCAAAACAAACAUUUCUGCUCUCCUGUUUCUCUGUUUCUCCUGACCGCGCCCCACCCGGUUUGGAGGUCCACACGUGCCUUAAACCCAGGUCCCUGGCUGCAGAGAGAAGGGGAGGUCCACGAGGAAGGGAUGAACUGGGCUGAAGAGGCUCUUUCGUUUUCGGAACGGGAGGCCUCCGCGGGCAUUUGCAGUUUCCGCCGCCCGUUGCAGCUCGAGAUUUACACUCUGAACUUGUUCAGGCGAUUAACAAAGGCAGAAGGUAGAAAGAAUCCCGAAAAUCUGUACAAGAAAAUCUAUUCUGUGAGCCCCGGUCGCUUUCGGAGAAAAAGAAAGGAAAGGAAAAAGGAAAGGAAAGAAAAACGCUACCUAUUUAAAAUGCGAAUUUAUUAUUUCCUGCCAGCAGAGAGGGCGGACAAAGUUGAUUUUUGCAAUUCUCUAACUGCAUCUGAGCUUAGUCUUCUAAUGCCCGUGGGGGUGAGGAAAGAAAGGUGGAAAAAUCCCUUUCGGAGUCCCCCGCUAAGCCCAAACUGACCGGC
rnacentral:lncRNA from 1 species